UUAUGUCACAAGACUUUGUAACCAGGGAAUUCUUCUUCAUCUCCACUCCCAUCUGAGUCACAAUCUUCCCUGGUGAUUUGAAUCAACCAUGGUUAUCCGGUUCAAAUUUAAGAGCUCCUCUGGUGUCAAAUUUUAUCUUCCAGUGCAGUCCUCCGUUACCUUUUAGUUAAAGUCCUGCCGUUAACUAAAUCAAAACGUUGCCGAAGAUUGCCCCGGAAGAUUCACACUGUGGAGGAGUUCUUGCAGGUUGCGUUUGGGUAUGUGGGUUUGAAUCGGAAAGUUCAUGUUGUGAUUGGCAAGAGGUAUUUUAGGCCUACUGAGGUUGAUAACCUUAAGGGAGAUGCAAGCAGAGCUAAAAAAGUUCUUGAUUGGAAGCCAUGAUUGGCUUGGGUCUUUCCAAUUUUUGCUUCAGAUCUGCAACAAUGGGGUUUGGAAAUGAUUCUAUAUAAGGGGUUCUUAGAGCUGAUAUAGUUUUCAAUUCAGUAAUUUGAAAUGAUUCUGAUUCUGUUUAAGGGGUUCUUAAGAGCUGAUAUAGUUUUCAAUUCAGUAAUUCAUAUCGAUGGUGUUUUAAGAUGUUGUUGUUAUCAUGUUAUGCAUUGUUUGAAUAUCUGUAAUUCCAUUAAUUUGAUUCUAGCAAGUCCCAUACUUAUUCGUCUUCUUAUUUUUCUUCUUGGAGUCACAAUGUGGAUGGGAUGGAUAAGAUCAUAUUUUGUACUGGGAAGUUCGAGAUCUUGCAAUUUUGAAGACUGGAGCCUUUUUGGGGAUGCUGGAUCUGAUCCCUUUCAAUUUACAGGAGAUUAGUUUUUAUUUUUUUUUGUUGGUAAUUAACGUAUUUCAUUAAAAUUAAGUAAAAAAAAAAAAAAAACCAAAACGGUGUCGUUUUGGUUUAGUUAAUGGUAGGACUUAACUGACGGGUAACAGAUGAAUGAAUUGACAAAAUUUGAAACUUAGAGGACUAAAAUGAUAAAGGUUGAAAUUUAGAGGAUCAGUUUUGGAUUAUAGCAUUUUUUUUUUUUUUUAAUAUAUAUUCUUUCUUCCAAUGUUCCAAGAAAUAAAAU